GCUCCUGCUGCCGCAGCUCCAGCCGCUGCCGCUCGAUCAUCUCGGGCUCCGACUCGAGCGCGUCGAAGACCGCGGCGCCCACCAGCAGUCUCAGAUUCUUGGAGGAAGCUGGAUCAUGCUAGAGAGGGAGAAAAUGGGAGAGGAGUUCCCCAGAGAUGGGGGAGAAGAGCACGAUGGAGACAGGUGAGACCCCAGGCUAUGGCUGUGCCCCUUCUAUCUGUGUUGGCUCCCUUCCCAGAGGAAGAAGUCUGUUGAAGAUUUCUGGAUGCUGACAAGAUGCAGAGCAUAGAUUUGAAACAUCAGUCCCUUCCAGCGCUGAAAUUCUGGGAUUCUCGAUUGGGACCAAGCUACUGGUAGGACCCAAAAGCAUCAGUGGGUCAGUCUUGUGAAGGGAAUGAAAGGCAGGAGACUACAGCAGUGACGAGCUGUGGCGCCUGGGCCAGCCAUGGCCUCUCUGUGAGUCUCAGCUUCCUUCCUAAACCACAGGAAAAUGAGGACAGCAGUCUCCCCAUAGCCUCUCUCACACGGUGGUUGGGGGACUCCAAGUGAGAUGAUGAAUGCGAAACUAAGACUAAUUAAUUCAAU